GCAUAUCAAUAAGCGGAGGAAAAGAAACCAACAGGGAUUGCCUCAGUAACGGCGAGUGAAGCGGCAACAGCUCAAAUUUGAAAUCUGGCCUCUUGGGGUCCGAGUUGUAAUUUGUAGAGGAUGUUUCGGGUACCGCUCCGGUCUAAAUUUCUUGGAACAGAAUGUCAAAGAGGGUGAGAAUCCCGUCUUGGACCGGCGGUAGGGCCUAUGUGAAACUCCUUCGACGAGUCGAGUUGUUUGGGAAUGCAGCUCAAAAUGGGUGGUAAAUUUCAUCUAAAGCUAAAUAUUGGCCAGAGACCGAUAGCGCACAAGUAGAGUGAUCGAAAGAUGAAAAGCACUUUGAAAAGAGAGUUAAACAGUAUGUGAAAUUGUUGAAAGGGAAGCGCUGGCAACCAGACUUGCGCGCGGCGGUUCCCCCUCCCUUUUGGUUGGGUUAUUCCGCCGUGUCCAGGCCAACAUCGGUUCUGGGGGUCGGUUAAAGGCCUUGGGAAUGUAUCUACCCUCCGGGCGUAGACUUAUAGCCCAGGGCGUCAUGCGACCACCCGGGACCGAGGAACGCGCUUCGGCUCGGAUGUUGGCGUAAUGGUUGUCAGCGACCCGUCUUGAAACACGGACC
rnacentral:rRNA from 1 species